rnacentral:tRNA from 1 species
CCCCUUGUAACUUAGUGGUAGAGUACUGCUGCUUAAAACCAGAAACUCGGGUUCGAUCCCCAACAAGGCAG